rnacentral:rRNA from 1 species
CCUACGGGAGGCAGCAGUGAGGAAUAUUGGUCAAUGGGCGGGAGCCUGAACCAGCCAAGUCGCGUGAGGGAAGACGGUCUUAUGGAUUGUAAACCUCUUUAGGCGGGGAGCAAUGCCGGGCACGCGUGCCCGGAGGGAGAGUACCCGCAGAAUAAGCAUCGGCUAACUCCGUGCCAGCAGCCGCGGUAAUACGGAGGAUGCGAGCGUUAUCCGGAUUUAUGGGGUUUAAAGGGUGCGUAGGCGGAUUUUUAAGUCAGCGGUAAAAUGUCCGGGCUCAACCCGGGCCGGCCGUUGAAACUGGGGAUCUUGAGUGGGCGAGAAGUAUGCGGAAUGCGUGGUGUAGCGGUGAAAUGCAUAGAUAUCACGCAGAACUCCGAUUGCGAAGGCAGCAUACCGGCGCCCGACUGACGCUGAGGCAUGAAAGCGUGGGGAUCGAACAGGAUUAGAUACCCGUGUAGUC